AAAAAGACAAACCAUGGGUUUCCGUGUCCAACUUUAGCUGUCCGUCUUAUAUGAAAUUUUUUUAUAAUUCGUAUUUUCAUUGUUGUUAGAUGAUAAAACAUGAUUAAUAUUUUAUGCGUGACUUAUCUUUUUAAUUUUUUUCAUAAUUUUUUUAAAUAAGACGAACGGUCGGAAACCAGGGUUUGUCUUUUU
rfam:Oryza glumipatula chromosome 5, whole genome shotgun sequence.